rnacentral:lncRNA from 1 species
CAAAUAUGCUAGUUGAAUCAUUUGCUAAAUGAGAAAUUUUUGCAGAUAAGGAUCGAGGUAGAUUGUUGGAUUGGGAAAAGCGGUUUCAAAUUAUCAAUGGAAUUGCUCGUGGAUUACUUUAUCUUCACCAAGACUCCCGAUUGAGAAUCAUUCAUAGAGAUCUAAAGGCUGGAAACAUUUUGUUGGAUGCUGAUAUGAACCCGAAAAUAUCAGACUUCGGCAUGGCGAGAAGUUUUGGAGGGAAUGAAAUUGAAGCAAACACACGAAGGGUUGUCGGUACAUAGUAAGGAUUCCAACAUAAGUUAUGCAUGCUUGACUUGUUUGAUGAGUUAGGUUGCACACUGGACAAUAUUAUUAAAGAAGAAUAAGUUGAAUCUUGUCUUUAUACUGUUGAGUUCUGGAUACUAAACAUUAUCUAAGCUCUCUUUUCUUUCUUUAAAUGACAAAAUCUCAAUAUAAUUGUUGUUUUGCAGUGGCUAUAUGUCACCCGAAUAUGUGGUUGAUGGUCACUUCUCAGUCAAAUCUGACAUAUUCAGCUUUGGUGUCCUCAUUCUGGAAAUCAUAAGCGGACAAAAGAACAGAGGAUUUUUUCAUCAAGAUCACCAUCACAAUUUGCUUGGACAUGUAAGUUUUUGGUUUCUUACUUUAAUUCUUCCAACAUUCUUAACUCCUCAAAUUCUUACAUCUAACUUUGAUUCUUUCCACUCAUCAAUUAGGCAUGGAUUCUACACAAUGAAGGACGAUCUCUAGAAUUAAUCGACUCACAUUUAGCUCAAUCGUGCUACUUGUCUGAAGUACUUCGAUCAAUGCAUGUCGCUCUAUUAUGUGUACAGAGAAAUCCUGAAGAUCGGCCAAAUAUGUCGAAUGUUGUCCUAAUGUUGGCAAGUGCAGGGGCAUUGCCUAAGCCUAAAGAGCCCGGUUUUUUCACAGAAAGAAAUUCAUUUCUUGGAUUUGAAACUUCAUCAAGUAAGCCUACGGUAAGUUCUGCCAAUGAAUUGAGCUUCACGGAAAUGGAAGGUAGAUAAAAAUAUAUAAAGAAUUAGUGCCAUAAAUGCAUAUAUUACUCAUUUAUAUUAAAAUUUUCAUUCAACGAAAACAUUUUAUCGAUCUAUGUCUUUUAUCAAUUUAUGUCUUUUAUGAAUUUCUAGCGUUUCUUCAAUUUUUUGGUCUUAAAAUUUAUUUAUGUAUGAUCUAAU